rnacentral:rRNA from 1 species
AGUGAACGCUGGCGGUAUGCCUAACACAUGCAAGUCGAACGGCAUCUCAGUAAGUUCUUGCUCUUACUUGUGGCGAGUGGCGUACGGGUGAGGAAUACAUCGUACUCUACUUUUUUGUGGGGGUUAACGUAGGGAAACUUACGCUAAUACCGCAUUCGACCUACGGUUGAAAGCAGUUGAUCUUCGGCCCUUGCGCGAUUGAAUGAGCCGAUCGCGGAUUAGCUAGUUGGCGGGGUAAGGGCCCACCAAGGCGACGAUCCGUAGCUGAUCUGAGAGGAUGAUCAGCCACACUGGAACUGAGACACGGUCCAGACUCCUACGGGAGGCAGCAGUAGGGAAUAUUGGACAAUGGGCGAAAGCCUGAUGCAGCAAUGCCGCGUGAGUGAAGAAGGCCUUCGGGUUGUAAAGCCCUUUUGUUGGGAAAGAAAAGCAGCAGGUUAAAAACCGGCUGUUCUGAAGGUACCCAAAGAAUAAGCACAGGCUAAAUUCGUG